rnacentral:rRNA from 1 species
AGUGAACGCUGGCGGUAGGCCUAACACAUGCAAGUCGAACGGCAGCACAGUAAGAGCUUGCUCUUACGGGUGGCGAGUGGCGGACGGGUGGGGAAUACAUCGGAAUCUACUUUUUCGUGGGGGAUAACGUAGGGAAACUUACGCUAAUACCGCAUAUGACCUACGGGAGAAAGCAGGACCUCUUCGGACCUUGCUCGAUUGAAUGAGCCGAUGUCGGAUUAGCUAGUUGGCGGGGUAAAGGCCCACCAAGGCGACGAUCCGUAGCUGGUCUGAGAGGAUGAUCAGCCACACUGGAGCUGAGACACGGUCCAGACUCCUACGGGAGGCAGCAGUGGGGAAUAUUGGGCAAUGGGCGCAAGCCUGAUCGAGCCAUACCGCGUGGGUGAAGAAGGCCUUCGGGUUGUAAAGCCCUUUUGUUGGGAAAGAAAAGCCGCAGGUUCAUACCCUGCUGUUCUGACGGUGCCCAACGAAUAAGCCAGGGCUAACUUCGUG